rnacentral:rRNA from 1 species
UUCGCAAUGCCCGAAAGGGUGACGAAGCGACGCCGCGUGCGGGAAGAAGGCCUUCGGGUUGUAAACCGCUGUCGGGAGUUAAGAAAUGCAAGGAUGUUAAUAGUAUCUUUGCUUGACUAAGGCUCCGGAGGAAGCCACGGCUAACUCUGUGCCAGCAGCCGUGGUAAUACAGAGGCGGCAAGCGUUGUUCGGAAUUAUUGGGCGUAAAGAGCACGUAGGCGGCUCUGUAAGUCAGCUGUGAAAGCCUUCUGCUUAACGGAAGAACGGCAGUUGAAACUACAGGGCUUGAGUGCGGGAGGGGAGAGUGGAACUUCUGGUGGAGCGGUGAAAUGCGUAGAUAUCAGAAGGAACGCCGGCGGCGAAAGCGGCUCUCUGGUCCGUAACUGACGCUGAGUGUGCGAAAGUUAGGGGAGCAAACGGGAUUAGAUACCCCGGUAGUCCUAACUGUAAACGAUGGGCACUAAGUAGAGGGGUUUU